GUCCUAUUGUAUUAUUUAAUAGGUCUGGCCUGCCCAGUGAUAAUUUUAACGGCCGCGGUAUAUUGACCGUGCAAAGGUAGCAUAAUCAUUAGUCUUUUAAUAGGAGGCUGGAAUGAAAGGUUUAACGAGAAAUUAACUGUCUCAAUUGCAAUCUUGAAUUUAUCUUUUGAGUCAAAAGACUUAAAUAUAAUUGGUGGACGAGAAGACCCUAUAGAGCUUUACAAUUAUUUUUUUAUAUUUACUCAGAGAUAUUAUUUAUUUGUAUUAAAAAAAUUGUUUUGUUGGGGUGACAAUAAAUAUAUAUUUAACUUUUAUCAUAAUAUUAACAUUAAUUUAUGAUUUUUGGAUCCAAAAAUUUUGAUCAUUAGACUAAGUUACC
rnacentral:rRNA from 1 species